rnacentral:rRNA from 1 species
GUGGGGAAUAUUGGACAAUGGGGGGAACCCUGAUCCAGCCAUGCCGCGUGUGUGAAGAAGGCCUUUUGGUUGUAAAGCACUUUAAGCGAGGAGGAGGCUACCGAGAUUAAUACUCUUGGAUAGUGGACGUUACUCGCAGAAUAAGCACCGGCUAACUCUGUGCCAGCAGCCGCGGUAAUACAGAGGGUGCAAGCGUUAAUCGGAUUUACUGGGCGUAAAGCGCGCGUAGGUGGCCAAUUAAGUCAAAUGUGAAAUCCCCGAGCUUAACUUGGGAAGUGCAUUCGAUACUGGUUGGCUAGAGUAUGGGAGAGGAUGGUAGAAUUCCAGGUGUAGCGGUGAAAUGCGUAGAGAUCUGGAGGAAUACCGAUGGCGAAGGCAGCCAUCUGGCCUAAUACUGACACUGAGGUGCGAAAGCAUGGGGAGCAAACAGGAUUAGAAACCCCAGUAGUCC